rnacentral:rRNA from 1 species
GAUGAACGCUGGCGGCGUGCCUAAUACAUGCAAGUCGAGCGAACAGAUGAGGAGCUUGCUCCUCUGACGUUAGCGGCGGACGGGUGAGUAACACGUGGAUAACCUACCUAUAAGACUGGGAUAACUUCGGGAAACCGGAGCUAAUACCGGAUAAUAUAUUGAACCGCAUGGUUCAAUAGUGAAAGACGGUUUUGCUGUCACUUAUAGAUGGAUCCGCGCCGCAUUAGCUAGUUGGUAAGGUAACGGCUUACCAAGGCAACGAUGCGUAGCCGACCUGAGAGGGGGGUCGGCCACACUGGAAAUGAGACACGGUCCAGACUCCUACGGGAGGCAGCAGUAGGGAAUCUUCCGCAAUGGGCGAAAGCCUGACGGAGCAACGCCGCGGGAGUGAUGAAGGUCUUCGGAUCGUAAAACUCUGUUAUUAGGGAAGAACAAACGUGUAAGUAACUGGGCACGUCUUGACGGUACCUAAUCAGAAAGCCACGGCUAACUACGUG